rnacentral:snRNA from 1 species
GUGCUUGCUUCUGCAGCACAUGUGCCAAAAUUGGAACAAUAUAGAGAUUAGCGUGGUCCUGUGCAUGACACACAAAUUCAUGCAAUGUUUCAUAUUUAA